GCGAGGGUGGCGAAACUGGCAGACGCGCUGGACUUAGGAUCCAGUGGCCGAAAGGUCAUGAGGGUUCGACUCCCUUCCCUCGCA
rnacentral:tRNA from 1 species